rnacentral:lncRNA from 1 species
CCUUUUUUACCGUCUAGUAUAAAAGAAAAUAAACAAAAGAUAAUCAAGCAACAACAGUGAUUAAUUUAUAAAAUGGAUCUUGUACAGUGCACAGUUGGAGAUUCUGGUAGGAUGCUGGCGAUUCCAAAAGCAGGACGGAGUUUAUCUUUGGAGACAUUGUCGACUUUGGCGUCCAGUCAAUUUAACAUAACAAUCGUAUUUUCCCGGGAUUUUAAAAGGACCAAAGAAGGUGGAAGAAAGAUAUUCUGUGAUUUGCUCAUUUUUAACAAAACACUAGUAAGCCUUGCUCAGACGAUUGUAGAACGUUUCUCUCUGGGUUACUCGUGGGGGAACGUGAGCUACCUUCUCCAUCAUCUCGAAGAAGCGCCCCACAUCGGAAUCUGCCUUAGGAAUAGGAAACGAAUCGAAUAAGCCUGAAGCCAAAUAUCCCGCUGACCAUAUCCGUGCAACUUGCCCAGCUUUUAGGGAUCUGUGGAACCGUUCAAUAAGCCCGUUUUAUUCAGGAUGAUGUGAUGUGGUCGUCCUAUUUGCGAUUCCAAGUGCCCUGCAAACAUCCGUCGAAAUAGUACUUGUGAAUUGCGUCCCCCUGUCUGACACAAUGAUGUCAGGUACUCCAAAUCUCUAUAUCCAACCGUCUAAGAAAGUUCCAGCCACUGUUCUAGAGGUGAUAUUUGGAAUUAGGAUCACUUCCAGCCACCUCGUAUACCGAUCCAUUAUAGUCAGGGUAUAGUGCUGUCCUUUGACGAGUGUGAACGGGCCAAUUAUAUCAAUGUGGAUGAAGGCAAGUCUCGUUAAUGGUGGAUCGAAAGAGGAAGUGGACUUGGAUGUUCCAAAAGGCUUCGUUAAUCAACAUGCAAUGUAUUCUUCACUAUUUUUUUUUAAUAUCAGAACGAUGAUUAUCUUUGUGGCUUGAAUGAAUAAUUCGUCGGCGAAGUUCUGGAGAGGAUAUUACGACACGAAAUAAGUUUUUGUUGUCGAAGCCUUCAAGUAAUGGAGUCUUUGAUCGUCAAUAACAUCUUGAAGAAAAUUGGGACUUAAUUUGAUGUCGUUGACAUUUCUCGAAUGAAUAGCCGCGGUGUGGUUUAAUUUUCCUUAAACAGGUUCAAUCCUGCAUUUAAACUCUGCUACAUAUGCAAAUGUACAGAAUUGUGUUGCAGUCUAGGAAGGAUUGCGUAUGUCUAUUGCUGACACUAAAGGCUUAUGAUCUGUGAAUACUUUAAAACUUUGUCCAUCCAAUGCCCACAGAAAAUGUUCAAUACUUUCCAUAACACUCGGUAUCAACCAUCAUAUCGACUAUUCUUUUUUUUCCCUUACGGACGAUGAUAGCCCAUAUCUGACUAAUAUGAAUUUCUUUGCUCCCUCAUAACUGAGAUUCUCCUCACUAAUAGGAAUAAUAUUGAAACCCUCAACCGGCAUUGUUGACACCAUAGGACUAUAUUUAACUUUUGUAUGACAAAUCCCUUCAAUGCAAAAUCAAGUUCAAAUCUCCGGAAUCAUCUCACAUCCGAAGAACAGAACUUAACAAGGUGGAAUUCCGCAACGGCCAUAGCUAAUUUCGCCUCUUCCGUUUUAAUCGACCAUGCUUUUUUUUGGG